GCAAGCGUGAUGGUGAAUGAUUGCACUUCACAUGAGCUUGAGAGAGUGAAAAAAAAAGUGAUCGCCCUGGCCCUGCCGUCCAGCUCAAACCAGCCGGGGAUCUGUUGCUCAGCUGGGGUUAGGUUCAAACUAUCAGUACGUCCCAAGAAACACAACUUCACCCUAUUCUCACCUUGAUCCUUCCUUGUACAGUUGCCGCUCGUAUGACUCAAUUUCUGCGAUCGCCCAAUGUAACAGUAAGACAGACCGUGACUUUUCACUGCUCGUUGCUGCUAUUCCGAGAUUGUAGUCCCAAUGCAUCCAUUCUUUGCCGGACGUACUUCUGUGUAGCAAC